CGGCGGAUUGGCCUGCGUGGGGCGGCGGCGGCGGCGGCGGGUAAGCUUCCUGCGGCCGCCUUUGCAUUGACCCCGGCAUGGCGGUGAUGGGGGUGCAGGUGGUGGUGAGCCUCCUGGCAGCCAGCGUCAUGCAGAAGAUGGCCCCGCAUUGCUCCUUCGCUCGCUGGCUGCUCUGCAAUGGCAGCCUGCACCGCUACAAGCAUCCCUCGGAUGAGGAGCUCUGCGCCCUGGCAGGCAAGCAGCGUCCCAAGGCCAAGCGGGACAGGAGGAUGAACGGCGUGACGGAUGACAAGCCCCUCUCUGUGCCCCGGGACAUCGACCUCCGCCUGGACACCAGCCCCAUCACCGCUGUGGAUGCUCUCGUGCUGCGCUAUUUCCUGGAGUACCAGUGGUUCGUGGAUUUUGCCGUCUACUCCACUGCCGUGUACCUCUUCACCGAGGGCUACUACUGCCUGGCGGACCCCCAGAAGGAGACGAACAUCGGGGUGCUCUGGUGCCUGCUGACGGUCAUCUUCUCCGUCAAGGUCUUCUUCAUGGUGAUGCGCCAUUACUUCCACUCGGAGGAGGGGGGUGAGCGCUCUGUCUGCCUCACCUUUGCCUUCUUCUUCCUCCUCCUCGCCAUGGUGGCCCUGGUCAUCCGUGAGGACUACCUGGAGUUCGGCCUCGAGCCCGGGCUGGCCGGUGUCAGCAGCAACCUGGAGAGCAUCCUGAAGCAGCGGGGCUGGGAGUGGACGUUGCCCCUCGCCAAGCUGGCCUUCAAGCUGGGGCUGGUGGCCCUGUGCUCCUUCCUGGGUGCCUGCCUGACCUUCCCGGGGCUGCGCCUGGCCCAGACGCACCUCGAUGCUCUCCGGAUGGCGGCCGACAAGCCCCUGACCCAGUUGGGUGAAAUCUGCGGGUGGGGAAGGAGGCGAGGGGGUUGGUGCUGGCAUUUUGGGGGCUGGGACCACCCCCCCCCCUUGCUCUGCAGGGCAGCGAGGAGGUUUGAUGGUGGGAGAAGGGUGUUGGGGGUGUGGGUGAGGACCGGUCCCUGCCCGCUGAGGGAUGGAGGGACGGGGGAUACCAGGCUGUAUGGGGGUCUCGUGACGGCUCCGCUGCAGGGUCCUGCUCCACGUGAGUUUCCUGGCGCCUGUCCUCGUGGUGGUGAUGUGGAUCAAGCCCAUCUCGCGGGAAUUCCUGCUCCACGCGCCCAUGGGCAAGCAGACGGUGCAGAUCAUGUCGGACUCUGCCUACAACACCGCGCGCCUCUGGACCAUUGUCGGCCUCUGCCUCUUGCGCCUGGCCGUCACCCGCCGUCACCUCCAGGCGUACCUGGGCCUGGCCGAGCGCUGGGUAGAGCAGAUGAGGAGGGAAGCCGGGCGCAUCGCUGUCCUGGAGAUCCAGCGCAAGAUCACGAGGAUUUACUGCUACGUCUCCGUGGUCAGCCUGCAGUACCUGGGACCCAUCAUCCUCACCCUCCACUGCACGCUGCUCCUCAAGACGCUGGGGCACCACUCGUGGGGGCUGUACCCGGAGCCCCCUCCCCUCCCCCUGGCAGCAACCGCAGCAUCGCCGCAUCCCGGCGGCGAGGACAGGGAGGACGUGCGUGCCGCAGUGGAGCAGAUCACGGGCGUUUUGGGUGGCAUCUUCACCCCCCUCUUCUUCCGCGGACUCUUCGCCUUCCUCACCUGGUGGGUGGCCGCCUGCCAGGUCGUCACCAGCCUCUUCGGCCUCUACUUCCACCAGUACCUGGCAGCCUCCUGACUGGAGGGAGCCGGGACAUGCCUCGGGGCGCAGCCGGUGCUCGGCUGCUGGUCCCCUCGCUCCUGCCUUGGCUGGUUUUUCCCCCCCACUUUGCACGCGCUGGCGGCACACCUGGACACGCGCGUGGGGACGCGUCUGCCGCCAGCUCUCGGCACGACGGGUUUUAUGCAUCCGGGCCAGCGUGGGCAUCGCCUGCUCCUGCCGCCCAUCACCACCGUGCCUGCUCUCGCCCCGCUGCCGCUCCGGGCUGCAUCCCUCCAGCCCCUCUUCCCCUCCCUGGUCCUGCACGGUGAUGGAGGAACCAAAGCCCCGCAGCUGGGUUUGCUGCUGCCUGCUCUGACCCGACACGGGGACACUCUGCCGCUGUGUUUUCCUGGAGGGCAGCGGCUCCUGCCAGCCCCGGGUGGUACGUGCUGGGCAGAGGACUCGGUGGGGAUCGCCUUUGCGUGGGAGAGACCCUACAGCCGGGUUGGAGCGGCAGCUUGGCUUGCCAGCACAGACUUUGGGGUUUGCUCUGCCUAGCGUUCGCCUCCACCGGCGGAGGCUGGGGAAACCAGAGCCCAAAGCAGCACCAUUAACCAGCACAAGGCCAGGAGGAAUUUGGCUCCAGCAACACUGUCGCCAAGUCACGGGUGGAAAGGUGCAAGGAAGAAGCGAUUCCCCCAGGGCCGGGAUGCAGAAGGGACUUGUUCCAGCCUGCACCAUCCCAUUAAAAGCUAGUCCGACUGU